GUCCAGCUGAAGAGUCCCAAUUAGGACGAAACGCGCUUCAAACUGUAU
rfam:Schistosoma rodhaini strain Burundi genome assembly, scaffold: SROB_scaffold0000480